rnacentral:rRNA from 1 species
AUAGUCCUGUAUGUUAAACGAGAAGACUUCAGAUAUGAUCCAGAGUACCACGGGACACGUGAAACCCUGUGGGAAGCAGGAGGGACCACCCUCCAAGGCUAAAUACUACCUAGUGACCGAUAGCGUAUAGUACCGUGAGGGAAAGGUGAAAAGACCCCCGGGAGGGGAGUGAAAUAGAACCUGAAACCCUGCACUUACAAGCUGUGGAAGCACAUUUCUUGUGUGACCGCGUACUUUUUGUAGAACGG